GAUGAACGCUAGCUACAGGCUUAACACAUGCAAGUCGAGGGGAAACGACAUCGCAAGCUUGCUUUUGAUGGGCGUCGACCGGCGCACGGGUGAGUAACGCGUAUCCAACCUGCCCACCACUUGGUGAUAACCUUGCGAAAGUAAGACUAAUACCCAAUGAUAUCUCUAGAAGACAUCUGAAAGAGAUUCAAGAUUUAUCGGUGAUGGAUGGGGAUGCGUCUGAUUAGCUUGUUGGCGGGGUAACGGCCCACCAAGGCAACGAUCAGCAGAGGUUCUGAGAGGACGGUCGCCCACAUGGGAAGAGAGACACGGACAAAGCGACUAAGGCAGGCAGCAGUGAGGAAUAGUGGUCAGUGGACGAGAGUAUGAACCAGCCAAGUAGAGUGCAGGAAGACGGCCCUAUGGGUGGUAAACUGCUUUUAUAAGGGAAAAACGUGAGUCUCGGGAGACUUUUUGCAUGUACCUUAUGAAUAAGGACCGGCUAAUUCCGUG
rnacentral:rRNA from 1 species